rnacentral:lncRNA from 1 species
CGCCAGGCAGAAUUACUAGAGAAGUGAAUGCAGGAAAUUGAGGACAGGAAGAAAGAGUCUGGCCCUGGGCAAAAAAAGACCUAACAAGCAAGAAGAAUCAGAGUCCUGUUGAAAGACCCUUGACAGAGAACCCACCCAAUAAAAUGACCCAAGAGAAACUUGAAGAGGCAAAUUCCAUUGGCCAGGACCAGACACUCACGGAGCAUGUUGGAGAGGGUGGUGCGCCAGAGAUUAAUUGUAAUGGAGUGAUUGGAAUCAUUAAUUACCCAGAGAACACUAAUAAUGAGACACUGAGUCUUAAAGAGGAUCUGCAUAAUGCUAAUGACUGUGAUGUACACACUUUGAAGCAGGAAACUAGUUUCCUAAACUCUUCAAAUGGAGACAGCAGUCCGUCUCAAGACCCAGACUUGCACACCCACGGCCUCUGAGGUGUCUGAGACCAUGGUGUGCCAGUCCUCUGUAGAACAGUCACUCACUGAACAGGACAUCACCCACCUCCAGGAGAGCAUUCAGGGAGAUACACCUUCUGGGGAUGAGCAGGAGCACAAUGGAGCACUGGAAAGCAAAGGAAAAUUCUCUGCUGGAAAUUUUCUUAUUAAUCCCCUUGAGCCAAAAAAUACAGAGAAGCUCAAAGUGAAGAUUGCUGACCUUGGGAGUGCCUGCUAGGUGCACAAGUAUUUCACAGAAGAUUUCCAGACAAGGCAGUUUUGGUCUUUGAAAGUCCUAAUAGGAUCUGGCUACAAUACCCCUGCUGACAUCUGGAGCACAGCAUGCAUGGCCUUUGAAUUAGGCACAGGGGACUAUUUGUUUGAGCCUCAUUCAGGAGAGGAUUUAUACAUGAGAUGAAGACCACAUCGCCUGGAUCAUAGAACUUCUAGGGAAGGUGCCUCCCAAGCUCAUUGUGGCAGGAAAAUACUCCAAAGAAUUUUUCACCAAAAAAGGUGACCUGAAACACAUCACCAAGUUGAAGCCUUGGGGUCUUCUGGAGGUUCUGGUGGAGAAAUAUGAGUGGCCUCAGGAGGCUGCCGGCUUCACAGAUUUCCUGCUGCCCAUGUUGCAGCUUAUGUCUGAGAAGAGAGCCACUGAUGCUGAGUGUCCCGGCACCCUUGGCUAAACUCCUAA